GAGUUUGAUCCUGGCUCAGGACGAACGCUGGCGGCGUGGAUAAGGCAUGCAAGUCGAACGCGAACGAGACAACUAAUUCGUUAGGCGUCUUUAUUAGAGUGGCGAACGGGUGAGUAACGCGUGAACAACAUACCUCUUAGAGGGGAAUAACACAGGGAAACUUGUGCUAAUACCGCAUACAUCGAUUUAAUUAUUUUUUAUUGAUAAAAGGUGGGGACCUUCGGGCCUGCCACUAAGAGAUUGGUUCGCGUCCCAUUAGCUUGUUGGUGAGGUAACUGCUCACCAAGGCGACGAUGGGUAGCCGGCCUGAGAGGGCGACCGGCCACACUGGGAUUGAGAUACGGCCCAGACUCCUUCGGGAGGCAGCAGUCGAGAAUCUUCCACAAUGGACGAAAGUCUGAUGGAGCGACGCCGCGUGAGGGAUUAAGGCUUUCUGAGUCGUAAACCUCUGUCGAGAGAGAAGAAUAGCUUUUAUAUUAAUAGUAUUUAAGCCUGACGUUAUCUCUAAAGGAAGCUCCGGCUAACUCCGUGCCAGCAGCCGCGGUAAUACGGGGGGAGCAAGCGUUGUCCGGAAUCAUUGGGCGUAAAGGGUGCGUAGGUGGUAUUGUAAGUCGAAUGUGAAAUCUCACGGCUCAACCGUGAAACUGCGUUCGAAACUACAUUACUUGAGUUAGGGAGAGGUGUACGGAAUUCCUGGUGUAGCGGUGGAAUGCGUAGAUAUCAGGAAGAACACCAAUGGCGAAGGCAGUACACUGGCCUGUAACUGACACUGANGCACG
rnacentral:rRNA from 1 species